rnacentral:rRNA from 1 species
CACGUAGGCUGUUCUAUAAGUCCGAUGUGAAAUCCCUGGACCCAAUUCAGGAAGUGCAUCGGAUACUGUAGAACUAGAGUAUAGGAGGGGAGAGUGGAAUUUCUGGUGUAGAGGUGAAAUUCGUAGAUAUCAGAAGGAACAACAGUGGCGAAGGCGACUCUCUGGACUAUUACUGACGCUGAGGUGCGAAAGCGUGGGGAGCAAACA